UACGUAGGGUGCGAGCGUUGUCCGGAAUUACUGGGCGUAAAGAGCUCGUAGGUGGUUUGUCGCGUUGUUCGUGAAAACCUGAGGCUUAACCUUGGGCGUGCGGGCGAUACGGGCAGACUGGAGUACUGCAGGGGAGACUGGAAUUCCUGGUGUAGCGGUGGAAUGCGCAGAUAUCAGGAGGAACACCGGUGGCGAAGGCGGGUCUCUGGGCAGUAACUGACACUGAGAAACGAAAGCCAGGGGAGCAAACGGG
rnacentral:rRNA from 1 species